UACGGAGGGGGCUAGCGUUGUUCGGAAUUACUGGGCGUAAAGCGCACGUAGGCGGAUCAGUAAGUUAGGGGUGAAAGCCCAGGGCUCAACCCUGGAACUGCCUUUAAUACUGCUGGUCUGGAGUCCGAGAGAGGUGAGUGGAAUUCCUGGUGUAGCGGUGAAAUGCGCAGAUAUCAGGAGGAACACCAAUGGCGAAGGCAGCUCGCUGGGACGGUACUGACGCUGAGACGCGAAAGCGUGGGGAGCAAACAGG
rnacentral:rRNA from 1 species